GUCGCGAACCAAUUAUGUGUUGUUGGUUGAAGUGCGGCACAACCUUUAAAUUAUAAAAUUAAGACUUAGACCUCACGUCUCAAGGUGAGUUAUCAUCAGCCUGCAACAGUCCGCUGCUAAACAUAGGCCUCCCCCAAAGCUCGCCACUGAACCCGAUCUUCGGUUCUACGCAUCCAGUUACUGCCAGCUGCCUUGCGCAGGUCGUCGCUCCAUCUAGCAGGAGAGCGAAGGUGAUUAGCAACAUUCAAUUAGUGUUAUCUAUGGGGCGCGGUAAUCAUUUAACACUAGAUGGGCCGUGAGCGAGUUUCACCCAUCUGUUAAAUAUAAAGUAAAAUAAAUUAUCUUGAAUGAAUGAUUAGUACGUAAUAGGAUACGUAUUGAGAUGUUUUAUUUAACACGAAACAGCGGCGUGUCAAUUAUUAGAACUUUGUGAUUUUUCCUGACGAAUCGGAUUGCCUUAGAUAAUUUUAUUAAGAUAGCGAAAUGAUAAAACUACACACAUAAUAUUAUUAUUAUAAUACUCUGUAUUACGCGACUAGCGAUGUCUCUGCGCGAUAUGUAUAUACGUCGUUUCAUAAUUAUCUAUACAUAAGUACCUACAGAGUGUAACGGUUGUGUUUAGUGUGCUUAGCUUGUGAGUUUUUUAACAUUCUCGAUAGCGUAAAAAUGAACAAAAAUUUGUAUGCAGUUGGAACAGCGCCCCUAGCAGCAAACGUAGGCAAACGUUCCAACUCCAUACAGAUUUGAGUUAACUUUUACGCUAUCGAGAACGUUAAAAAGCUCGCACUAAUCACACUGAACGUUUGGAAAUUAACUGUUUUAAUAAUGACGUGUUAACUGUGUGCUUAGUGCGACUUCGCCCUAACGUUUGUAGGUGAGCUCACGGGGCUCAAACCGGAGAGUUUGCUAACACUGACCCUAGCAAGAGCAGUGCUUCGCAGAAUGUACCACCGGAUCGGAAACGCGACCCACUGAGAAGAUCCGGCGAGAAACUCAGUGGGCUGUGUCUAUGGGUUAGUUCGCUCGUCGAGCCCUUCGUCGUAAGCGACGGCUUCGAAGAGGACGGUGACCGGUGCUUGUGGUGCCUAAAAGCACUGUUAAUGGAUCAGGAGGAUCCGUAAUGACGUGAGGUAGGCAAACGAUCCAAACUCCAUACAAAUAAGAACUAACUUUUACGCUAUCGAGAACGUAAAAAAACUCGCACUAAGCAUACUGUACGCAUUUUAAGAAAAAUCAGUUGACGUGUAAUGGUCUCGUGUUUCGAUCAGCUCAUUUUCCUUUGGAUUACGUGUUCACGAAGUACUUACUGACUGACUGAUUGAAAUGUAACGAUUGUAACAGAAGAUGAUUUUAACAGAAACAGAAAUAAUUCCUGUUCCAACCUUAAGAACAAUUGUUAUUCUGUUUAUUACGUUUUUCUUUGGAGUCCAUAGAAAUUACAACGUACACAACGAAGGGAGGGCGUCUUAAAAAGACUAGGACGGAUUGUAUGAAAGAGGAUAUGCGAGAGUAGGGUGUCACUGACCUAUUAUUAUACGUCUCAAUGGAAAAAGAGGACAUGAUGCACCAACCCACAUAGUGGGAUAUCUAAGGGCAAGAAGAAGAAGAAGACAUUAUAAUGUAAGCGCUGCCUCUUACAGUAGAAAUCCAGGUUAUACGAGUAUUAUGUAAUGGCAUUCCAAUAUAGUGACUGGGUAAUUAUAAUAAAGCCCUGUCUUUGUUGUAGCAACCUUGACAGUAAAUGCCAGUAAUCUUGUUAAGCUAUUAUUUAACUAUUGCGGAAAAUGUCUAUUACAUAAUGUGUGGUGUAUUACAUAUAUUUUCUGACUAGACUAGAUUAAUGGAUCAAUUCUUAGUGCACUCACAGCCUCCAGGUGGUCACAGGAUCCUACAGAGACCACGGUUGACAUCCAUUCUCGCAGAGGCUUUUGAUAACAAGGUUUGACAGUUUUUGGUGGGAAAUGGCAAAGAUGAUUGCAGAAAAAUCAAUGCCUAAACAUGACAAUAUAAAUGCUAACAUUUAUGUUAAGGUUUCCUUGCCUUAGUUGGGGAGGUAGGGACUUGUGUGUUUUUUACUUCUACCACCGCUAGUUAUAAUAAAUAACUACUAAUUUUUGUUAUUUUCGUGCUAUGAUUUUGUCGCUUAAUGUUACAGACAUUUUUAGGACUUAAUAAUUAAGAUGCCUUGUGAUGUCUCAAGAUCUUCAAAAUUUAUCUGCUUUACAUUCUAUGUAAUAAUUCAUUAAAUUAUCACAUUUAAUGUCCGUUUUAUUAGCUAUUGGUUUUCACUGUCUACAAAACAACUGUCGACAUUAAUUUAUUCAAACGGCUAGUGUGGGCUAGUGUUACGCGGGCGCUUCAAGGAAAAAAAGUACGUAAGCAUCUGGAACGUUCAAAUUAAAAAUGCACCGUUCCUUCCGUGUACACGGCCAUAAAAUCACGUAACAACUCAAUAAAACUACACGUUGAACUUAAUAGAAAAACAAUUUGGCACGACAUGCCUAUUUACAUUGCCCUAUCGCUUGUUCGUUUGUUUUUGUUGCGCUCUAAAUAUAAUUGGGUCUAUCAGUGUGCGGCGUCGGACGUUGAAUUGUUGAGCGAAUACAAAUCCAGUUAGUUGCGUGGCGUCAUAGCGUGCGCUCGUGUUAAAAAUGUUAGUGAAAUUAUCGUUCCCUUGCUUCUUGUCGGAAUAUCCCGACGUCGACAUGCUCCGGUGCAAAGAAAUUAACUACUUCGUAACGGAAUGCGUGCUGCCGCGCCGACCGAAGCGUUGUCUUCCACCGCUCCCGGAGGACAAGGAAUACAACAGCGGAGACUUGAAGAAACCAAACAAAACCAGGAGGAGACGUAAGAACAGAAAACAGUGUCUGACACUGCCCGCUUUACCUGAAUAUGACGAGAAUUGAAGCUAAAUUGUUUAUGGAAUUCGUCGAGUAUUUUAUGGCGAAUCACCGUUUCAUUUUCUUGUGAAAACAAGGGAUUGUGAUAAAGUGCAAAUAAUUAAUAGUACCUUCAUUUGGGUUUUUUCGUGGUAACCUUCGGAUGCGUCUAGUCGAUGUGCGUCGUUGGCAGUCAGCGAUGUGUCAAGUUCCAAUGGGAUUUUCCUAAUGAUAUGAUGAGAAUGCGUCGAAUGCAAUUGAUAAUACAUCGUGGCCUAGUGGUUAUUAUUAAUUACAAAGAUAUAAGUCCUUAUAAUGUGCGUUUGUAUGUAAGGUAUAAUUAAAGAUUUAAUGUAUGUCAGAUUCAAUAUUUACUAUAGUCAUGAUUAUUGUAUUUAUUAAAAUAGAAUUAUUGUGUUUUAUGCUGUUUAAAAAUGUUAUAACAGAUUUUAGGGAUUUAAAUAGUUUAGAAUAAAUCAUUUUUGUAAGGUAACAGAAUAAAUUGCUUGAUAUCUAUCUAUUUUGCGCCGCCUUCGCCAUUCAAAUGUAGUAAAUUAGUAACGUUUUUUAAUGAAACUAAAGUAACUUCAUAUUAUCCAAAAAAAAGUGAAAAUUUAUCCACACAAUAAACAUCCAUAAUAUAUUAUGUAUCAUUCACUGUUGUUGUAAUCCAUGAUAGGCAAAGAACUUAUUUUUAAUUUUAAGUAUUCGCAAUUGAUGUCUGAUUUUCUAGUUAUGUCAAUUAAAAAUGAUGUAGUUAUGUACCUUUUAUCUUUCUUUGAGGUCGCUUUGUACUGUAUGCGAUUUUGUAAGUGCUAUUAUUGAUAAGAAAAGGAAAACGAAAACAUUGUAUGUACAUUUCACCCGUUAGUUUGUUUUAAUUUUAUUUUUUUAACGCAAACUGAUAAACAAUCUUAAUAUUAUUAUUGUGACGUCAAAAUGAUAAUUUGUUAUCGUGUUGCGACGUGAAGAUAGAUAAUUUCGACCACUAGAUACUUUUAUCUUGAUUUUUUUACCAAAGAUUCACAUGAGUCGGUUUGUUAUUUCUUGUUGUCAUUUCUUUUCGGUUGUUUUUUUUCGGGAAAUUUAAACGUUCAUAAUAGUGCUGCUUUUUUUUUUGAAGGCUGUUGUUAUAUACGAGUAUAUAUCGUUAAAACAUUGCCCAGCUCUAGAUAUCUGGAUGGUUUUUAAGCAUCGUCCAUUUUUAUAGGUCUGUUUAGCGAUGGAAUCAAGCUAGUUACUUGUAACGAUCUGUGAUACACAUUUCUGUUUUAAAUGUGAAUUAUGUGUAAUUAAACUAUGUGAAAUAAAUUUGAAACGUGA